rnacentral:rRNA from 1 species
GCAUAUCAUAGCGGAGGAAAAGAAACCAACAGGGAUUACCUCAGUAACGGCGAGUGAAGCGGUAACAGCUCAAAUUUGAAAUCUGGCCUCACGGUCCGAGUUGUAAUUUGUAGAGGAUGCUUCGAGCAUGGUCUGGCCUAAGUUCCUUGGAACAGGACGUCAUAGAGGGUGAGAAUCCCGUAUGCGGCCAGGUGCCUACGCUCAUGUGAAGCUCCUUCGACGAGUCGAGUUGUUUGGGAAUGCAGCUCAAAAUGGGUGGUAAAUUUCAUCUAAAGCUAAAUAUUGGCCAGAGACCGAUAGCGCACAAGUAGAGUGAUCGAAAGAUGAAAAGCACUUUGGAAAGAGAGUUAAACAGUACGUGAAAUUGUUGAAAGGGAAGCGCUUGCAACCAGACUUGCGCGCGGCCGAUCAUCCGGUGUUCUCACCGGUGCACUCGGCCGUGCUCAGGCCAGCAUCGGUUUUGGCGGCUGGAUAAAGGCCCUAGGAAUGUAGCUCCUCUCGGGGAGUGUUAUAGCCUAGGGUGCAAUGCAGCCUGCCGGGACCGAGGACCGCGCUUCGGCUAGGAUGCUGGCGUAAUGGUUGUAAGCGGCCCGUCUUGAAACACGGACCAAGGAGUCUAACAUCUAUGCGAGUGUUUGGGUGUCAAACCCAUACGCGUAAUGAAAGUGAACGGAGGUGAGAACCCUUAAGGGUGCAUCAUCGACCGAUCCUGAUGUCUUCGGAAGGAUUUGAGUAAGAGCAUAGCUGUUGGGACCCGAAAGAUGGUGAACUAUGCCUGAAUAGGGUGAAGCCAGAGGAAACUCUGGUGGAGGCUCGCAGCGGUUCUGACGUGCAAAUCGAUCGUCAAAUUUGGGUAUAGGGGGCGAAAGACUAAUCGAACCAUCUAGUAGCUCGUUCUGCGA